rnacentral:rRNA from 1 species
UGCAGCAACGCCGCGUGAGGGAUGACGGCCUUCGGGUUGUAAACCUCUUUUAGUAGGGAAGAAGCGAAAGUGACGGUACCUGCAGAAAAAGCACCGGCUAACUACGUGCCAGCAGCCGCGGUAAUACGUAGGGUGCAAGCGUUGUCCGGAAUUAUUGGGCGUAAAGAGCUCGUAGGCGGUUUGUCGCGUCUGCUGUGAAAUCCCGAGGCUCAACCUCGGGCUUGCAGUGGGUACGGGCAGACUAGAGUGCGGUAGGGGAGAUUGGAAUUCCUGGUGUAGCGGUGGAAUGCGCAGAUGUCAAGAGGAACACCGAUGGCGAAGGCAGAUCUCUGGGCCGUAACUUACGCUGAGGAGCGAAAGCAUGGGGAGCGAACAGGAUUAGAUACCCUGGUAGUCCAUGCCGUAAACGUUGGGCGCUAGAUGUAGGGACCUUUCCACGGUUUCUGUGUCGUAGCUAACGCAUUAAGCGCCCCGCCUGGGGAGUACGGCCGCAAGGCUAAAACUCAAAGGAAUUGACGGGGGCCCGCACAAGCGGCGGAGCAUGCGGAUUAAUUCGAUGCAACGCGAAGAACCUUACCAAGGCUUGACAUACACCGGAAACAGCCAGAGAUGGUCGCCCCCUUGUGGUC